GACGAACGCUGGCGGCGUGCCUAAUACAUGCAAGUCGAGCGGAUCUUCAUUAGCAUGCUUUUGAAGAUCAGCGGCGGACGGGUGAGUAACACGUGGGCAACCUGCCUGUAAGACUGGGAUAACUUCGGGAAACCGGAGCUAAUACCGGAUAAUCCUUUUCCUCUCAUGAGGAAAAGCUGAAAGACGGUUUCGGCUGUCACUUACAGAUGGGCCCGCGGCGCAUUAGCUAGUUGGUGAGGUAACGGCUCACCAAGGCGACGAUGCGUAGCCGACCUGAGGGGGUGAUCGGCCACACUGGGACUGAGACACGGCCCAGACUCCUACGGGAGGCAGCAGUAGGGAAUCUUCCGCAAUGGACGAAAGUCUGACGGAGCAACGCCGCGUGAGCGAUGAAGGCCUUCGGGUCGUAAAGCUCUGUUGUCAGGGAAGAACGAGUAUCGGAGUAACUGCCGGUACCUUGACGGUACCUGACCAGAAAGCCACGGCUAACUACGUGCCAGCAGCCGCAGUAAGAC
rnacentral:rRNA from 1 species